rnacentral:rRNA from 1 species
UUCGCCCUUAGAGUUUGAUCCUGGCUCAGGCACGAACGCUGGCGGCGUGCCUAACACAUGCAAGUCGAACGGGGUUGAGUGCUUCGGUAUUCAACUUAGUGGCGAACGGGUGAGUAACGCGUGAAGAACCUGCCUUUCAGUGGGGGACAACAGUUGGAAACGACUGCUAAUACCGCAUAACACUGAUGAGGGGCAUCCCUUAUCAGUCAAAGCUUUAUGUGCUGAAAGAUGGCUUCGCGUCUGAUUAGCUUGUUGGCGGGGUAACGGCCCACCAAGGCGACGAUCAGUAGCCGGUCUGAGAGGAUGAACGGCCACAUUGGGACUGAGAUACGGCCCAGACUCCUACGGGAGGCAGCAGUGGGGAAUAUUGGGCAAUGGGGGAAACCCUGACCCAGCAACGCCGCGUGAAGGAAGAAGGCCUUCGGGUUGUAAACUUCUUUUACCAGGGACGAAGGACGUGACGGUACCUGGAGAAAAAGCAACGGCUAACUACGUGCCAGCAGCCGCGGUAAUACGUAGGUUGCAAGCGUUGUCCGGAUUUACUGGGUGUAAAGGGCGUGUAGGCGGAGAUGCAAGUUGGAAGUGAAAUCCAUGGGCUCAACCCAUGAACUGCUUUCAAAACUGUAUCCCUUGAGUAUCGGAGAGGCAAGCGGAAUUCCUAGUGUAGCGGUGAAAUGCGUAGAUAUUAGGAGGAACACCAGUGGCGAAGGCGGCUUGCUGGACGACAACUGACGCUGAGGCGCGAAAGCGUGGGGAGCAAACAGGAUUAGAUACCCUGGUAGUCCACGCUUUAAACGAUGUAUAAUAGGUGUGCGAGGAAUGACACCUUCCGUGUCCGCAGUUAACACAAUAAGUAUUCCAACUGGGGAGUACGACCGCGAGGUUGAAACUCAAAGGAAUUGACGGGGGCCCGCACAAGCAAUGGAUUAUGUGGUNUAAUUGGACGCAACGCGAAGAACUUUAUCAGGAUUUGACAUCCCACUAACGAAGUAGAGAUACAUUAGGUGCCCUUCGGGGAAAGUGGAGACAGGUGGUGCAUGGUAGUCGUCAGCUCGUCUCGUGAGAUGAUGGGUUAAGUCCUGCAACGAGCGCAACCCCUAUUGAUAGUUGCUACGAAAGAGCACUUUAGCGAGACUGCCGUUGACACAACGGAGGAAGGCGGGGACGACGUCAAAUCAUCAUGCCCCUAAUGUCAUGGGCUACACACGUAAUACAAUGGUGGUAAACAGAGGGAAGCAAGACUGCGAAGUGGAGCAAAUCCCUAAAAGCCAUAUCAGUUCGGAUUGCAGGCUGCAAAUCGCCUGCAUGAAGAUGGAAUUGCUAGUAAUCGCGGAUCAGCAUGCCGCGGAGAAUACGUUCCCGGGCCUUGUACACACCGCCCGUC